rnacentral:misc_RNA from 1 species
UUUCCGUAGGUGAACCUGCGGAAGGAUCAUUCAUAAUAAAGUGUUUUAUGGCGCUUUUUAAAAAUCCAUAUCCACCUUGUGUGCAAUGUUAGAUCUCGUCAAUCUUGGCGAGAUUUUUAUACAUCAACUCAUUUUUUAACUAAUUUGUCUGAAAAAUAUUAUGAAUACUUAAUUCAAAAUACAACUUUCAACAACGGAUCUCUUGGCUCUC